GAAAAACAAACUGUGCUUUUAAAAUUAUAAGUCAGUUUACAAAUUAAAAUUGAUACCGUUGUUAAAAAACUGAACCUGAAACAAUAGCACUUCAGCAAAUUUUACCCAAGCCCAAUAGAUUGUGCAGUAAAGCUGAUAAAUUUGGGUCAGUUCACUUGGUGUUGGUCAAGUCAGACAGGUUGACCUGGCUUUUCAACUGCCUUGGCAGUAAUCCAUUUGGGAUAUGAGAAACAUUAAAAUCAGCAGAAAGAAAAAAAUGGAAGCACGAAAUAGUUGCUCCCUGGAGUUCAGACAUGGACAAAGAUAUGAAAAGAAGCACCAGGUCAGAAGUUGUGAAACCCCUAAAUCGUUUCACCACCAACUAUAGCAAUUCUUUUUUCUCCAAGUAGCUGCAAAAUCACUGCCAGGAUAAAGAGAUAAGGUGGCCAA
rnacentral:misc_RNA from 1 species